GACGAACGCUGGCGGCGUGCUUAAUACAUGCAAGUCGAACGAGUGGCGAACGGGUGAGUAAGACGUAGGUAACCUGCCCUCUUUUCGGGAUAAGCAUUGGAAACGGGGUCUAAUACCUACUAAAGGGGGAUGGGCUCGCGGGCGAUCAGCUUGUUGGGGGGGUGAUGGUCUACUAAGGCGGGGACGGGUAGCUGGUCUGAGCGGAGGACCAGCCAUACUGGAACUGAGACACGGUCCAGACGCCUACGGGAGGCAGCAGUAGGGAAUCUUGCACAAUGGGCGCAAGCCUGAUGCAGCCAUGCCGCGUGAAUGAAGAAGGCCUUCGGGUUGUAAAGUUCUUUCGGCGGUGAAGCGUUACUCGCAGAGAAAGCACCGGCUAACUACGUGCCAGCAGCCGCGGUAAUAC
rnacentral:rRNA from 1 species